rnacentral:tRNA from 1 species
GGGAGAGUGCCCGAGUGGUUAAUGGGGACGGACUGUAAAUUCGUUGGCAAUAUGUCUACGCUGGUUCAAAUCCUGCCUCUCCCA